GACGAACGCUGGCGGCGUGGAUUAGGCAUGCAAGUCGAACGGUAUCAUCCUUUCGGGGGUGAGAGAGUGGCGAACUGGUGAGUAACACGUAGGUUAUCUACCCUCAAGACGGGGACAACCCAGGGAAACUUGGGCUAAUACCGGAUGUGAGCAACUUUUAGUUGUUUGAAAGGUGGCGUAAGCUGUCGCUUGGGGAUGAGCCUGCGUCCUAUUAGUUAGUUGGUGAGGUAACGGCUCACCUAGGCAAUGAUAGGUAGGCGGCCUUAACGGGUGGUCGCCCACACUGGGGAUUGAGAUACGGCCCAGACUCCUACGGGAGGCAGCAGUCGAGAAUAGUCUACAAUGGUCGGAAGACUGAUAGUGCGACGCCGCGUGAACGAUGAAUCCCUUCGGGGUGUAAAGUUCUUUUAUAUGUGAGCAGUGCUUCUUAUAUUAACAGUAUGGGGAAGAGAUAUUAGCAUAUGAAUAAGCAACGGCUAACUCCGUGCCAGCAGCCGCGGUAAACUCG
rnacentral:rRNA from 1 species